rfam:Egretta garzetta contig82634, whole genome shotgun sequence.
GUUUCUGUAGUGUAGUGGUUAUCACGUUCGCCUAACACGCGAAAGGUCCCUGGUUCGAGACCAGGCAGAAACA